rnacentral:rRNA from 1 species
GCAGUCGAACGGUAACAGGAAGCAGCUUGCUGCUUCGCUGACGAGUGGCGGACGGGUGAGUAAUGUCUGGGAAACUGCCUGAUGGAGGGGGAUAACUACUGGAAACGGUAGCUAAUACCGCAUAACGUCGCAAGACCAAAGAGGGGGACCUUCGGGCCUCUUGCCAUCGGAUGUGCCCAGAUGGGAUUAGCUAGUAGGUGGGGUAACGGCUCACCUAGGCGACGAUCCCUAGCUGGUCUGAGAGGAUGACCAGCCACACUGGAACUGAGACACGGUCCAGACUCCUACGGGAGGCAGCAGUGGGGAAUAUUGCACAAUGGGCGCAAGCCUGAUGCAGCCAUGCCGCGUGUAUGAAGAAGGCCUUCGGGUUGUAAAGUACUUUCAGCGGGGAGGAAGGCGAUGAGGUUAAUAACCUCAGCGAUUGACGUUACCCGCAGAAGAAGCACCGGCUAACUCCGUGCCAGCAGCCGCGGUAAUACGGAGGGUGCAAGCGUUAAUCGGAAUUACUGGGCGUAAAGCGCACGCAGGCGGUCUGUCAAGUCGGAUGUGAAAUCCCCGGGCUCAACCUGGGAACUGCAUUCGAAACUGGCAGGCUAGAGUCUUGUAGAGGGGGGUAGAAUUCCAGGUGUAGCGGUGAAAUGCGUAGAGAUCUGGAGGAAUACCGGUGGCGAAGGCGGCCCCCU